rnacentral:tRNA from 1 species
AUCUCGACCUCGUCGGGAUCGCUAGGGCCCCCGUUGUGUAGCGGCCUAGCACGCCGCCCUCUCAAGGCGGUA